rnacentral:rRNA from 1 species
CUAUAUGAAGAUAUAUAAAGUAUAGCCUGCCCACUGAAAUACUUAAAGGGCCGCGGUAUUCUGACCGUGCAAAGGUAGCAUAAUCAAUAAUCUUUUAAUUGAGGGCUUGUAUGAAUGGUUGGACGAGAAAAAAACUGUUUCUUAAAAUAAUAUUUGAAAUUAACCUUUAAGUGAAAAGGCUUAAAUUUGAUAGAAAGACGAUAAGACCCUAUAAAUCUUUAUAUUUUCUAAGAGUCUCGAAUAUUUGUUAGUUAACAUCUCUCUACUCUUUGACAAUAUUGUGUUGGGGCGACAUGAAUAUUUGUGUAACUGUUUAUAAAAUUAUACAAAAACGUUUGAAUUAAAUUUUUAGAUCCUUACUAUAGAUUAAAAGAUCAAGUUACUUUAGGGAUAACAGCGUUAUUUUGUUAGAGAGUUCCUAUCGAAAACAAAGUUUGCGACCUCGAUGUUGAAUUAAAAUUUCUUUGUGGUGCAGCAGCUACAUUAGAAAGUCUGUUCGACUUUUAAAUUUUUACAUGAUUU